AGUGAACGUUGGCGGUAGGCCUAACACAUGCAAGUCGAACGGCAGCACAGUAAGAGCUUGCUCUUACGGGUGGCGAGUGGCGGACGGGUGAGGAAUACAUCGGAAUCUACUUUUUCGUGGGGGAUAACGUAGGGAAACUUACGCUAAUACCGCAUACGACCUACGGGUGAAAGCAGGGGAUCUUCGGACCUUGCGCGAUUGAAUGAGCCGAUGUCGGAUUAGCUAGUUGGCGGGGUGAAGGCCCACCAAGGCGACGAUCCGUAGCUGGUCUGAGAGGAUGAUCAGCCACACUGGAACUGAGACACGGUCCAGACUCCUACGGGAGGCAGCAGUGGGGAAUAUUGGACAAUGGGCGCAAGCCUGAUCCAGCCAUACCGCGUGGGUGAAGAAGGCCUUCGGGUUGUAAAGCCCUUUUGUUGGGAAAGAAAAGCAGCAGGUUAAUACCCCGCUGUUCUGACGGUACCCAAAGAAUAAGCACCGGCUAACUUCGUG
rnacentral:rRNA from 1 species